rnacentral:rRNA from 1 species
CCUACGGGAGGCAGCAGUGGGGAAUUUUGGACAAUGGGGGCAACCCUGAUCCAGCAAUGCCGCGUGUGUGAAGAAGGCCUUCGGGUUGUAAAGCACUUUUGUCCGGAAAGAAAUCCCUUGCCCUAAUACGGCGGGGGGAUGACGGUACCGGAAGAAUAAGCACCGGCUAACUACGUGCCAGCAGCCGCGGUAAUACGUAGGGUGCGAGCGUUAAUCGGAAUUACUAGGCGUAAAGCGUGCGCAGGCGGUUUUGUAAGACAGGCGUGAAAUCCCCGAGCUCAACUUGGGAAUGGCGCUUGUGACUGCAAGGCUAGAGUAUGUCAGAGGGGGGUAGAAUUCCACGUGUAGCAGUGAAAUGCGUAGAGAUGUGGAGGAAUACCGAUGGCGAAGGCAGCCCCCUGGGACGUCACUGACGCUCAUGCACGAAAGCGUGGGGAGCAAACAGGAUUAAAUACCCUGGUAGUCCACGCCCUAAACGAUGUCAACUAGUUGUUGGGGAUUCAUUUCUUCAGUAACGUAGCUAACGCGUGAAGUUGACCGCCUGGGGAGUCGGUCGCAAGAUUAAAACUUAAGAUAGUGACGUGUGAGAGCGACGACGACGACGACGGAGGAGGAG